AUUGAACGCUGGCGGAAUGCUUUACACAUGCAAGUCGAACGGCAGCACGGACUUCGGUCUGGUGGCGAGUGGCGAACGGGUGAGUAAUGUAUCGGAACGUGCCCAGUCGUGGGGGAUAACGUAGUGAAAAUUACGCUAAUACCGCAUACGAUCUAUGGAUGAAAGCGGGGGAUCGCAAGACCUCGCGCGAUUGGAGCGGCCGAUAUCAGAUUAGGUGGUUGGUGGGGUAAAGGCCCACCAAGCCAACGAUCUGUAGCUGGUCUGAGAGGACGACCAGCCACACUGGAACUGAGACACGGUCCAGAGUCCUACGGGAGGAAGCAGUGGGGAAUUUUGGACAAUGGGCGAAAGCCUGAUCCAGCCAUUCCGCGUGCAGGAUGAAGGCCCUCGGGUUGUAAACUGCUUUUGUACAGAACGAAAAGGUUUCUACUAAUACUAGGAGCUCAUGACGGUACUGUAAGAAGAAGCACCGGCUAACUACGUGCCAGCCGCCGCCGUAA
rnacentral:rRNA from 1 species